AAAAGCCAAGCUUAUCCGAGUCUUGGCCCGGAGCCCGGGACCCCAAGAGGCUUCAGUGGGAUCCCGGCCCUGUGCUGGAGGCACAGAACAAACACCGCCUUGUAGCCGAGACCCUCUCUUGGAGCUGGUGGUCUCUGCAGACAGGACAUGACACAGAAGAAAGGAAGCAUUAUCAGCUGGGCUUCAAGAUUGGAAAACUAAGGAAAGGAGAGAGAAAGUUUGUUUUAGGAAUCUUCACCACCACAUGUGGGGCAAAGUCUUCCAUGGCAGUGUUCCCAUGUUCUUCCAUGGGCCCAGGAUUCCAUCCGUGGCUUUUGAAGAGCAGCACCCAACACCUUGAGCUGCAUUCAAGUGUAAAGAAGGAGCAGAUCUUUUAUAGACCAUAAACACAACAGCUCUUAUGGCCAACCUGACCAAUUAAAUGGUCUCAGCAAUUCCUACGUUUUGCUAAUGACCUUAA